AUUGAACGCUGGCGGCAUGCCUUACACAUGCAAGUCGAACGGCAGCACGGGUGCUUGCGCCUGGUGGCGAGUGGCGAACGGGUGAGUAAUACAUCGGAACGUACCUUAUCGUGGGGGAUAACGCAGCGAAAGCUGUGCUAAUACCGCAAACGCCCUGAGGGGGAAAGCGGGGGAUCGAAAGACCUCGCGCGAUUAGAGCGGCCGAUGCCUGAUUAGCUUGUUGGUGGGGUAAAAGCCCACCAAGGCGACGAUCAGUAGCUGGUCUGAGAGGACGAUCAGCCACACUGGGACUGAGACACGGCCCAGACUCCUACGGGAGGCAGCAGUGGGGAAUUUUGGACUAUGGGGGCAACCCUGAUCCAGCAAUGCCGCGUGAGUGAAGAAGGCCUUCGGGUUGUAAAGCUCUUUUGUCAGGGAAGAAACACCGGCUCUAACACAGUCCGGGAAUGACGGUACCUGAAGAAUAAGCACCGGCUAACUACGUGCCAGCCGGCGCGGUAA
rnacentral:rRNA from 1 species